AUGAAGGAGGAGCCCCCCAGGGUGGCAGUCACUGCUGGUGGGUCAGCAAGAUGGGGCUGGCCGAGGGGUAGGGGGUGGGCAGCAUCGGCGACCUCCACAGGCCAGGUCUGGGUGGGAUUCAUAAACAUAGAACAGGCUCACGGGAGAAGGGGAGGAGGAACAGCUUGGGCACCUGCCUUCUCAUGUCCCUGUCCACUGCCCCUCCACCUGUUUGCCUCUUACAACAGCCUUCUGACUAUACAGUACAUCCCAAGGUCCUGGGGCCCCCACCUGUAUACAUCAGGAGCUCAAACUGUCAUAACCCUGUGUCUGAGGCUUCCCACCCCCCUGCCUCUAAUAACUCAUCUGGGGUGGGGGCUGCCUCAGGGUCUUUCCCAGGUUCCUGCCCUGGAGUCUUUGCCUUUGUCAAGCUGGGAGCAGUGGGUGUGGCCGGGCACAUGGUCCCGGUGCAGCUUGACCGGAUCCUGUCUAUCUGGCUUCCUGGACCUAGCAGGUGACUGGAAUGCAGGAGACAUCCAAUCCACAUGGACUGAAUUUUCUUCCAGCAUCUCAGAAGACCGCUCUGUACUCCCCCAAGGGUGCUGGAGCCCACAUGGAGCCCACCGCCCACGGCGUCAGGAGCACCACUCACUCAGUUCUAUGUGGGAUCUCUUGUGCCCACAGAAGGCCAUGAAGAUGGGGCCAGCACUGUGGUAUAGCGGGCGGCAGCAGAGGCCAGCACUGUGGCAUAGCAUCCCAUAUGGGUGUUGGUUUGUACCCCGGCUGCUCUACUACUUAUCCAGCUAA
rnacentral:lncRNA from 1 species